AUGAAGUUUAGAGUUGUUUGCAGGAAGGUGUAUGAUUACGUGAGGUACGAUCUGAAAGAGAUCGCCUUCCCGUCUUCUCUGCCAGACCCUCCGGGCACCAAGAGGCCAACUAGGCUGUAUGGGGCUUCCUGGGUCAGGGACAUCGGUCCUGAGAUCAGGCCCAACGAUUACAAGAAGGCCAAAGAGGAAUAUGAACCCAACAGUGCCGAGGGGGAAACUAAAAGUGGGCCUACUGUGCUUGAGGACCUCGCGCCCGUGUUGUGGCGCAUAUACAUGACCCGUGCCUCAACCUACACAAGUGCGGUGAAAAACUAUGUGGAGACCUAUCAGGAAGGGCUGAAGGAUGUCUUGGACGAGAAGGCUACUGGGAAGGGUCACCAGCAAGGCAAUGAGCCGAGGAGAUCGUCGGCGUUGCCUCCACACCCACAAUCAUCGUCAUGA
rnacentral:rRNA from 1 species